rnacentral:lncRNA from 1 species
UAACAAUAAAAAUUAAAAAAAUUAACUAAUUUUAAAAAUAUUUUUGACGGAUUUCAUUUCGUAACAAAAGCAGAAUUUGCAUAUUUUUCAUUUUUCCUCAAUUUUUUUUUUACAUCUUUUCAUUUUCCCUCAAUUUUUUUUACAUUUUUUCAUUUUCUCUCAAAACCUAGAGAAUACCUUCACUUCACUCUCAUUAUGUGUAACAUUUUGCACCAUUAGUCAAGGUUGAUGUUCACGAUUUGGUCGGAUUUUACUGCUUGCGUAACAUUUUGUAUCAUUAGACAAGGUGGGUGUUCAAGAUUUGGUUGGAUUUUGAUGGAAACUUGUUAAAGGUCGGAUUUUGUUGUGUCUUCAUCUAACAUGUGAGUAUUGUACUUGAUUUUUAUUUUGUUUCAAUGUGAAUUUUGGGGGUGGUGAUUGGUGGUGCGAUUGUGAGUUUUUGGUUUGUGGUGCUUGGGGCUUUUGUAAUAUUGAUCAGUUCACUUUAGUAUCUUGUUCAGGUUUGCUCGUACCUAUCAUGAAUGGUUGUUUGUUUCAGCUGAGUGUAAGGUUGCACACUUUGAUCCUUGUAGGAAAGAGCACAAACGAACAUGUAAUAUAGGAAAAAUGAGUAUAUCUUUAGAUAUCCAAUCGAUCUUUUGAAGUUUUAGAAUUAGAGUGAGGCUUUAGUUAUUGCUGCAAUGAUGGAUAAGC